rnacentral:lncRNA from 1 species
GGACAGGUUUGUCUCCAGACUCUGGAACACCAUUCUCAGCCCCUGAAGCAGCUGCAGCUCCUUUCGCAUCCUGCAUAUUUACAUCACUUUCUGCUGUAGUUGAAGGAGCAGCAUUAACUGAAGAUUCAUCUGUUUCCAUUUUGGCAGGUUCCUUAGCUGUCUCUUUCACAACUGGGACUUCCACCUCUUCUUCUUCCAAAAGCUAAAUUCCAAAGCAAAAUCAUGAGAUCAGAUGAUAUUAUUUCCAUUCACUAGAUAAUUGAACAAAAAAAGAAUUUUUGGACUUACUGUUGCAGACUCAACAGAGACGAUACCAUGCAGGUUUAGGCGUACUUUGACUUUUAGUUUAGCCCUUUCACCCUUCAUAGAUUGGAAUGGUCCAAUCUGUCAAAAAGUUCAAAGAGAAUCCAAGUGAGCCAAGGUCUCACCAGAAACCAGCGGAUCUACUUUCCUCUUAAUUUUAAGAGAAAAAAAACAUAAAAUCCAAUUAGUAAGUGGAACUCUGAAAUACCGUGUAAGUACUGAUUUUUGCUGGCGCCUGCAGUUCACUGACAUCAGCAUACUGUACAUCUAUUGUAAAUGUGCCAGAUCUGUAGAAUGUCAGAGCUUUCACACUGGGUAUCGGAUUCCCUUUGGGAAAAACAAUUGUGCUCUGAUGAUUCUCUAAAGCUCCAUUUUGUGCAUCUGGAGCAGGCCCCUUCCAAGAUAAUGCAAUUGGGAAAGGGAAGCUCUCAUUGACCUUCAAUCAGCCAACUAGAAUUCUUAGUACAGUUCUUGCACUCACAAAUCACCACAAUCUAUUGCUGGGAGUUAGAUGAGCAACUAGUAGCAUAAUAUUUAAGUAAAGGUUAAAAGCAACACAGCUGGCAUCUGCUUCACCAAAAAAUUUUAGUGCUUCUAUAAUAAAUCGUGCAUUUCCUUCAUCCUUCAAGAAGGCAAUUUCUUCUACCUCCUAAUUUGUCGUUCAUUACCCUUAUAUCUACACUUGAUUCAAGUUAACCAAAUGCAAACAACUAAAUCAAACAAAGGAAAAAUCAAAAGCAUGUUCUAAUACUUAUCUUCACACACUAAAUUAAUGCCUACAUACAUAAUUUUGCUAAUUUUGCUUUGAUUGGUUUUAAAUAAAAUGAAGUUGAAAACACUGAAUCCAAAUGACUAUGGAAAAAUAUAUUGACCAAGAGAAUGCAAAGCUGACAAGCUGUUACCUUGAAUUCUCGCACUUUAAAGGUAGGACUGAGAAUAGCGCAUUGCAGUGCAGCACCUUUGGCCACACAUUCACUUGCAUUCAUGGUGCGCCUCGGUUCCUUACCGAAGAACUCUGUUAAAAUCCUCAUAAUUGCAGGUACUCGGGAGCUUGACCCAAUAACCUCAACUGCAUGAAUGUUCUCAGUAGUAAGCCCAGCUUCAGCAAGAGCUUUCUCCAGUGGUUUCUUCACUCUCUCCAGUAUAGGGAUGCUGAUUUGCUCAAACUCAUCCCUCUUCAGAAACCCUCUAACGUCCUUCUCAUCCAUUAAACACUCUAUAUUUAAAGGUGCCUCGGGGUUUGCACUGAGAACCUUCUUCAACUUUUCACAAGCAGCUCGAAGCCUAAUGCAUGCCCUAGCAUUUUGGUAAACAUCUAUUUUGUAUUCUUCUUUGAACUUUGCAGCAAAGUGUUGGAAAAUAGCUUCAUCAAAAUCCCUCCCACCAAGAUUUCUGUCAAAUGAAUGAGCCAAUAUCUUCAAUUCGCCUUUCUUAAAGCCAGCAAUACAAACUUGCAAGCUUGCAUGCCCAACGUCAACAAAAGCAACAUUCAGAGGGUCAUUUUCAGGUAAAUCUGUCUUGUAAAUACCAUAUGCUAAUGCAGUAGCUGUUGUCUCAUGAAUUAGAUGCAAAGGAUGCAAGCCAGCAAUGGUGGCUGCAUCCAUUACAGCUCUUCUCUGGAGAUCAGUGAAAUAAAUUGGAAUUCCAAUGCAACAAUCAACUACUACUGCAUUGAGAUUCUUUUCUGCUAUAGUUUUGAGAUCCGAAAACACCAUUCCAAGAAUCUGGGUAGGUGUAAAAGUUCUCACUUCUCCCAAAUAUCGUGCAUGGAUCAGGGGAUAUCCAUCAGGCCCUUCAGUUACUAAGAAGGGAAGUGUCUUAAUAUCUCUUUGCAGCUCGGGAUCUGAAAAUUGCCGCCCUAUUAGCCUCUUUAUUUGGGAGAUGGUAUUCUUUGGAUUCAUCAUGCUUGAAGCUGCACCAGCAGUACCGAGAAAUCGUUGCUUCUCUCCGAAGCAGACUAUAGCUGGAGUUUCCCUUUUUGAUUCAUCAUUAAGUACGACAUCAAUCCCUCUCUGCCUAGCAACCGCAACAACGCCACUCUCAUUCCCAAAGUCAAAACCAACCACACUCAUCUUUUCUGGAUACGAUAACUACAACACAAAGGAAGUACCUAGACAACAUCAACAGACAAGAAUCAACUAAAACGCCAGCAUCCUCUGUGUGAGAAUCUACAUCAAAGAAGCCAUGGAUUUUAAAUGGUAGCACCCAAGAGCAAAAUCAAAAAGUGAUUGAUCUUCAAUCAAUAAGCUAAGAAAGCCGAUCACUGGUGGACAGGCUUUAUUGGAAUGCAAUUACUCUAUACAGUAAUUAUGAAUACACAGAAGAGGGCAAAUGAGUUCUGUCUUUUCUUUCAAGUAAAGAGAGAAGCCUGAAGUAAUCAACAAUCUCCAGCUAGGAAAGCUGAUCGCUCGUUGACGGGCUUUCUUGGAAUGAAAUUACUCUAUACAGUAUUUAUGGAUACACAAGAGAGCAAAUAAGUUUACUUUCUAGUAAAGAAUGAAUUAAGAUGGCAUGACGUGACCAACAAUGUCCAGAAACGUCAAUCAAAAACGUCAACAAAAAGAAUAAUAUAGACACAAAGUUCAAGAAUGAUUCUUCUUUUUCUAAUUUCCCCAAUAUCCCAAGUUACCGAAGUUCAAGUACACAAUUUUUAUCUAAUUUUACUGCCAAGGAAACUUUCAUGCAUGAAUGAUCUCGCACACCAACCGACAACGCAGGAAACUACACUAAACCACCAACGCAAACUCAAUUUUUUAAUAUACAAUCUAGCAAUACACCAAAUCCCUAUAUUUACCCUAUACAAAAUUUUAAAAAAUAGGCUCCACAUUGCCUUGUAUUAACUUAAGAGCCAAUUUGGAUUGACUUUGGCUUAUGACUUACAAGCCAAAAGCCAUAGUUAGAAAUCCUAACUUAUAACUUUUUGGCUUAGAUCCAAAUGCUUAAAAGCACUUUCUAAUCUAGCUCAAAACACUACAAAAUUGCUAAAACACUUAGAAUAGAUCAAUCCAAACAAACUUUACCUAAUAUGAACUCAAUCAUACAAAAAAAAUACUCAAAUGUUAAGAAUUGAUCUGAUUGAGGAUUAAGCAAAGAUCAUACCAUACCAAGCCUAAAGGAUUUUGAUCCAGACCUUCACACCUCUAAUCAUAAACCUCCUUAAUCAUUUCUUUACGUCUUGUAAUUUUCUAAGAAUAGAUUAAGAGUUCGCCGAAGCAACCAACAAUGCAGGAACAAUAACUGCAGUUCAUCUACUAAAUCAUGAAACUACAACACAGUCUAGACACAACAGAUUCAGUUUACUCCUAACAAAACACUAAACAACAUGCAAGUUAACCGAUAAUACUACAUCUCCAGCUAAACAUCACCAAAUCUAACAAUCAAAAGCAAAAAAAAUCGUAGAUCUACAAAUUGAAAUACAGAGAAUAAGAGUUUUGUGAUGCAAACAAUACCUUGAAGACGAAGAACGGAAUCGCAGUUCCACGAGGCAAAAGGAGAAAUAGUAUGACAAAACAGAAGGGUUUAAAGGAGAGCAAAAUAUAUGUAAAUGAAGAGAAGAGGGGUUUGUGUAGUAUUUUCGAGUUUUAUAUAUUAUUUAAUUUAUUUUUUUUUGGAGAGUAGGGGGAGGUUCGAGUGGUCCUAGAUGGGUCUAGAGGUAUUCUAGAAAGUUCUCACCCUUAGUGCACAAAUAGCCAUAUGUAUAGGAAGUCCUAUUUAUAAUUUAACCAAUAACAACAUAUAUUAGGUCAUGUCAAUUUUCAAAUAGUAUAUAAUUUUCAAAUAGUGUGUAUAUAUAUUAUUUUUUUAAAAUGUGGUAUUAUUAGUAAAGUAGUUUUGAGAACUAAUUAAAUAUAAUAUUUUAUGCAACUUUCAAAUAUGAAAUAACUUCAAAAAAAAAAGCAGAUAAAUUAAAAUAAAACGAGAGAUUUAGAAAAACUUUUAGUUAAAAAUAGAUAUGCCAACAAACAGUUACUUGCUACUAGCCGUUUUAUAUAAUAGUAAAAUAGCUUAAGACUUGAUUCAAAAAGAAGUUAUAUAAUGAUUAAGAUAACAUAACUAAUUAGACAAUGAUUGUCCAUGUAUGCACGGAUCAAACUUGAUAUGAAAGAGUUACAUUUUGGAGUUUGGCUAAUCAAACUUAAUACAAGAUCAAAAUCAAGUUCGAUAAACUCAAAGUAUUGAAAAUGGUAUAAAAUUACCCUCUAUCCAUCUAUUGGCUCCAUAAUAUCUAUCUCACCCACCUAUUGGGUCCAAAAUUCCCUUGUCAUCCACCUUUUGGUUCAAAAUUGAUCACUUAUUUAACGAUUUUAUAUAUAAACUAUUUUUAAAAAAAAUUAAAUAUGUCACGCUCAACUAUUGUUAUAAUUUAAUUUAUUAGUAUAAUUUAUAAAUCAAUCCACUACCUACCCAUUACUAAUUAAACCCACCAAAUUAAUAAACCCGUCACAAUAUUAAUGCAACAACAGAAAAGCUACUGCCAAUUGAGUGUAAUUUGAGACGAAAAUAUCUAUAGAAGUAAAUUAUCAUACACUCAAGUGUCCAAAUAAAAAUUACCGACAAAUUUAAAAGUCUGACUAUGUUCAUCUUAAUUAUUCUUACAUCUCAAUUAUGUGAUGUUACUUCAUAGGUAACUUUUUUUUCAAAAUAAUAUAUUAAAGGUUUUAAAACAAAUGAUAAAUAUUUAUAAAAGUGUAUUUUGAAAAAGUUCAUGAAUUAGUUCGGGAUAUAUUAAUUCUUUACAUUUAAUCAUAAAUUAGAAUAAAUUUCUAAUUCAAUCUUGAAAGAAAAUUCAAUUGAAAGUGUCCUCAUAAAUAAAAGGCUCAAUAUAAAUUUAAUUGGAGCUUUGAUUCGGACUCGAAUAAUUUUGGAUGUCAUUUUCAGGAAUCUAUAAUUUCAUCGUGUUUUAGUAGUGUUUAUGACGAUUUUGAUAUAAUAGUUGGAUUAUUAAUUGGGUGGGGUUUCAUUAGUAAUGAGUGAGUACUGAGUUGUUUAUAAAUGGUACAAAUAAAUUAAAUUAUAACCAAUAGUUGAGCAUCAAGUAUUUUAAAAAAUAUUUAAAUAGUUUAAAUUUAAAAUCAUUAAAUAAGUGGUCAAUUUUGAACUCAAAACAGGGGUAUUUUGGAGCCAAUAGGUGGAUGAAAAGGGCAUUUUGGAGCCAGUAGGUGGAUGAAGGGUAAUUUUGUAUCAUUUUCAAUACUUUAAGGGUAUUUUAGGUCCUUUUCCGUUUAUAAUUUAACCAUAACAACAUAUAUUAGGUCAUGUCAAUUUUCAAAUAGUAUAUAAUUUUCAAAUAGUGUGUAUAUAUAUUAUUUUUUAAAAAUGUAGAGUAGUUUUGAGAACUAAUUAAAUAUAAUAUUUUAUGCAACUUUCAAAUAUGAAACAAACUUUAAAAAAAGCAGAUAAAUUAAAACAAAAUGAGAGAUUUAGAAAAUUUUUUAGUUAAAAAUAGAUAUGUCAACGAACAGUUACUUGCUACUAGCCGUUUCAUAUAAUAGUAAAAUAGCUUAAGACUUGAUUCAAAAAGAAGUUAUAUAAUGAUUAAGAAACCAUAACUAAUUAGACAAUGAUUGUCCAUGUAUGCACGGAUCAAACUUGAUAUGAAAGAGUUACAUUUUGGAGUUUGGCUAAUCAAACUUAAUACAAGAUCAAAAUCAAGUUCGAUAAACUCGACAAGUUAUAACACCAAAAAAAUGAAAGGAGUCUAAAAAGGAUUUGGGUGGGCCGUGGGGGAGAGGGGGAGGUCAUAAAUAAAGUUAGAAAGAUUUGACAUUCUGCAUUCUGAAGGAAGAGAGCUUCAUCUAUCUAUCUGUGCUAAUUAUUACCCUAACUUUCCUUGAGAGAUUAGUGAAAGAGUUAAAAUCAUGAAAUGCACCAACGUUAUAACUCAUCAAUGUUAUAUUGACAGGUUUGUUAGUUUUCCUAAAGCAAUGACUGAUGAUCCAUGAAUUUCAACUAUUUAUUAUACUUCUUAAAUCAACGUAUUCAAUUUCCAAGACGUUUUCCAUUUUCUGUUUAUGCAUUUAGGUAAGAGUAAGAAUCAAUUUCUCUCAAACCCUAUCAUAACCUCUACUAACACACUAUUUAAGACCAUAGAUAGUGCACAAGCAUUGUCAGUUGUGUUGCUAGUACCUUGGUCUAAACCCAAAGAGUUAGCAAACAUCAUGUUGUCUUGGAUGUCUGUUUGUCUCUCUAAUUAGUCCUCCUCCACAACAACAAAUCAAAAUAUAUUAAGUGGCAACUGUUACGAAUAUUAAUGAGACUCUAAUUAGUUUUUAAAAAAUUGUUGAUAUGUAUACACAUUAAAUUAUUUUUUUUUUUAAAAAAAAAAAGCAAUUGUGUGCUCUUUUUUAUAUAACCCAAUUCAUAUUUAUUAUAUCAUCUAGCAAUUUGAGGUUGCGAUUCGCAGUUUAUAGUAUGUUCUAAAUUUAUUUGUUCUUCUUACUUGAUUUGAAGCUUUUAUAAUAUUUAAUACAAUUUUUUGUUUUUUAUUUUUGUCAAACUAUUAAAAUUUGAAAUAGUUUAAUAGUGUUUAAAUAGGAUUUGAUACUACUACUUGAAAGUUGUUUGAAAUUUUUUUAAUUUACAACAAAAAUUAAAGCGUCUAAAGUUUUACGAAUUCACUGGAAAAAAAGUAAAUUUUUUUCUCAAACUAGGAUAAUUUAAAUUUGAUCUCUUUAUGAAUAUCUCAUAAAUUUGCAGAAUAUUCGAGAUGCCUCUCCAAGAAAAUAUAUUUCCCUUUAUAUAAGCAUGAGAUAAGGUUUUAGGGUAGAGUUAUGACAUCCUAACUUAAGACAGGAAGCCCUACACCGACAAAUCACAUGAGAGAUAUUAGGUGUAUAAGUAAGCAGAUCUUACCAAUUAAUGAUGUAUUAUAAAAUUGUGCGGACCUAGGCCUAGAGCGGACCUAGGCCUAGAGCGGACAAUAUCAUUAGUAGAUCGGAUUGUUACAAAUGGUAACUUCGUCAUUCCUAUGUCAGCCUUGUCAAUUUGAGCUAGAAUUCAACUAAGUUUAACCAAAUCUCGAUAAGCGAGGCAAACCUCAGUGUUGAGUCUACAUCAAUAUCAUAAGGUAGGGCAAACCUCAACGACGAUGUUGAGUCCACAAAGGGGGUAUAUGUGAUGCUCCAGCUUAAGAUAAGAAGUCUCACAUCACCAAAACACAAGAGAGAUGUUAGGUAUAUAAGUAAGCAGGCCUUAUCAACAAGUGACGUGUUUUAAAGUCGUGCAUGCCUAGAUCCUGAGCGGACAAUAUCACUAGUGGAAUCGAAACGUUAGAAAAGUAGCUUCCAAGAUUCCUAACUGGAAUUAAACACGUCUUAUAGUCCCAUAAAAUUUGAAUGUCUUGAAUAUUAUACAUUACACGUGCAUUUUGAAUAACAAUUCUAAAAGAGGCUACUUUGUCUCAUUAUAAACUCUGUUAUACUUAGGCUUUAUUUGUUUCAGUUAAGAUUUAGAUAUUUUGCAACACCCCGCAACCAAAAUAGACCAAAAAUUAGCUUUACAAAAAAAAAAUCUACAGGUGCAACCAACGGUGGCAUCGACGGACUGUAGCCUGACCCACGGUCCAUCCUGCACAACCGUCGAUGAGAUCAGAAACUCCCAAAAAUUUCAGCCUAGAAAAAUUGGUUGAGUCUUAGACGACGGACAGACUUACGGUCCGUAGGUGGAAAUUUUGCAGACAGUUAAGGGGAAAUGCAAUUGGGUCAACUUCAAAUGGUCAUAACUCUUAGCAUAAAAUGAAUUAGGUGUCCCAUGACCUACCCACAAAUAGAUAAUUGAAUUAUCUUUCCAUAGCUACCGACCUUGCUACCAUCACACCUCUAAGUAAAAAGUUGUGCCCAUUUUAUUAAAGGCCUAUCGAAUAGGCCCAAUCAACGGACCCAACGAUGGGGCAUUGGUCAGACGACGGACCAUCAGUCCUGGCCGUUGUUUGGUCCAACAACAACAUUUCCAGGGGUCUUUUUGACCUUUUCCACUCUGUUUAAACCUUAAGUUACAUUGUUUUGACACUAAAUCAUCAUAUUUUAGUCAAUUUAAGCUUAGAAACAUAAUUAAAACAUAUCCAAGUCAAAUCAUUAAAUCAAAACAUAGAAAAUUAGAAGCAGAGAGGAGAAAAAGCUCAAGAACCCUAAUUCAAGAACGCCACAAGCUCCAGCAGUUCCAGCCCCGAAACUUAAGUAUUUUUUCGUGAAUUUUAUCACUAGGUAUGUGAGAUUGCACUAGUGGGUUCCUUUACCCAUUGGGUCCCUAGUUUUCAGUCAGAUUCUUGAUUUCCAUAUAAUGAUUAGAACUAGGGUUUCUAGAACUUUAACAGAAUUUCAUGAAUUUAAUAAAUAUAUGUUCCAAAUCAGAUUAUCAUAUUAUUACUCAGAUUAUCGCAUGAAUUUCAGACCCCUAUCUUUGUAUUUCUUUAGUUCUUGAAUACACAUGUUAGGUCAGAUAUUUCAGACACUUCAAAUAUACAUGCCUCAGUUAUAAAUGCAUAAUUACCCGAUUAAUUGUUGCAUUCUCAGUUUACAUAUUCAGUUUUGAGCUAUCCAGUAUUUACAAAAACUCAGACAUAAUCAAUUAAUUUACAGAAUUCAUGGGAGUAGCAUAAUACCGAGUUGGACUAGGGUUCAGCGUACCCAAUUAGUCCCAGAACUACUAGCCAAGUAGGUCGUAAGUCCCCUCUGUGGGCAAUCAGUUUAGUAAUCACGCCAGCAUGCCUUUAUACAUUUGGCAGGGUAUAUUGGGUCCUCUCGAUGGAGCAUAUACAUCAGACUCCACAUUUAGCUCAUGUGAUUUUAAUUAUCGAUUAUUAGUAGCUCCCACAGAUCAGUUAGACUCUCUGCAUUGACUAUUUAUCUGUAUAUUCAGUUUCAACAUGUUAUAAAUUGGUUAUUGCAUUCAGUUAGCUCAGAAAUUCAGUAUAUUAUGUUCAGAUUAUUAUACUUACUUUUGUGCUUGUUCAGUUAUGUCUUAUUUCAGCUUUACUCUAUCCUACAUGCUCAGUACCUUUCAAGUACUGACACAUACGUGCACUACAUCUUCUCGUGAUGUAGCUUCAGGUUCUCAGCAUCUAAAUCACGCAUAGAUCGACUUCCGAUCUCCAGUUUAGCAGAUUCAGUGGUGAAUCCUCAUUCUCCGAGGACAACAAUCAUGAGUUUAAUUUCAGUCUUCAGUUAUUUAGUUUCAGUUUUGCUAGAUUUAGCUGGGGCUUGUCCCAGUAUUUCUAGUCCAGUGUAGAGGUUUAUUUCAUACACAGUUAGAUUCAGCUUAGUAUUGAGUUAAUAUUUUCUUUAUAUUAAACUCAUGAUUUUCAAAUAUCUCAGUUAUAGAAUAUGGGUAGUCCCCAUCUUUUCAGAUUUAAUUAUGAUUUAGCUUCCGCAUCAGUUUAUUAUCUUUAGUAUGCUCAUGAUCAUACCAGCAGGGUUAGCUUGGGAUCACUUGUGGUUCUAAGUUCCGUGUCGGCGUCUGGGGAGUAGCUCGGAGCGUGACAUAUUUGCAGGGGCGGACCUACAUUGUAGGCUUCGGGUUCUCAAGCACCCACUAACGCGUAAGGUAUAAAGUUAGAUAAAAAAUAUUUACAAUUAAUAUAUUAAACAGUUUAACACCCACUAAUACUAAAGUAAUAUAGUCGCUUUGAUUCUGAAGUUGAUUAUCCCACUCUCAUCACGCAAGAGAACAUGGGUUUGAAACUCGUUGGAAGCAAAAAAAUUCAGGCUUAUUACUAACUGCUUUCAUAUAUUACUAAACAUUUUCUCUUCUUGUUCCUUUUUUUCAAUCUUCGCCCUUUUUUCUCCUGACAUUUCAAUCUUAACUUCUUCUUUUUUAGCUUAUUUUUUUACAUUUUUAAUUUCUUAUAACUCAUUUAUUGCAACAAAAAAACAAGAUUUUAAAAACAUCAGAGUGUAAAUAUAUGUAAUUGUCAACAUUCAAUGAUAUGAUACAAUAAUUCAAUAUCUUCAAAUUAUGGAAGAUCGUCGCAAAUCAUCUUUUAGAAGCUUUUUUUCUUUUAAAAAGAAUAUAUUAAUAUUAGUGAUAGUUCGCUCGGUAACUUAUGACUUAUAAGUCUUAUUUAUAAUAAUAAGUCUUUUAUUUCACAUUAAGUAAAGUGCUUAUAUAUUUAUAGUAAAAAGUGCACCCAUGAUCUUAAAAUCUUGGAUCCGCCACUAAAUAUUUGAAUCUGAAUGUAUAUUUGAAUAAUUAAGAUGCGGCAUUUAGAUUUGAACAUUGAGUGAUUAAGAUUUUUUAAUAUUUGAAUAUACAUAAUUUAUUUAUAUGAUACAUAUAAAUAUACAAUUUGAAUAAACAGUUAAAAGUCAUAAAUAAAUAAUUGUACCAGUACUCUUUUGACUUUUGACUUAUUUUUUUUUUAAAAAAAUAGCCUAAAAAUAGGUGCUUAGUUAUAAUUUUUCCAAAUACCUUCAAAGCUAUUUAAAAGUCAAAAACACAUAAAAUAAGGUAAUUCAAACGGACACUUAUAUUUGCUAGUAAUGAUAGAGAUAGCUGAAAGUAGUGAUAGUGAUGAUAAUAAUUGUUGUUAUGAUGAUAGUGGUGAUAGUGUGAAGGUGGAUAUGGUUAAUGUUGUGGUGACUAAUAUAAUAAAAAUAACAAUGGCGAUUGAUAAUGGUGUUGGUGCUUGUAAUGAUGAAGUCGGUUGUCCACAAUUGACGGUGUUGAUGAUAACCGAAGAAUGUGUGAUGAUUGGUGAGAUAUUUUGUUGUAGUCAGCGGCAGUGCUGGUUAUGAUAAUGGAGGAAGUUAGUAGUUUAGACUAACCACGGUGAUCGUAACAACUAGCAUUAGUGUUGGUAGUGGCAACAGUGCUAGUUGUGAGACACAGUUUGUUGAUACUAAGACUUUACUAUGAUGGUAAUAGUAGUUGAUAGUAGUAGUGGAGGUGAUUAAUAGGAGUAACUGUUCGGAUGUACAACCCUUAAUCAAUAAGAUUCAUUAUUAUAUCAGUGAUAGCGGCUAUAGGGACAAGGAAGAUAGUAACAAUGGAUAUAAUCAUAAUGAUGGAAGAGAUAAAUAUAGUAGCAACACCUAAUAUUAGUAGUUAGCAACAAUGACGUUUAUGAUGACAGAGGCAGCUGGUGAUUGAUAUCGAUAAAGUAGUUGAUAAUAGUGGUGGUGGUGGUUGUGACAUGGAAAAUCGGGUAGCAAUGGUGGGUGAGAUUGUGAAUAGAGUGACAGAAAAUACUAUCCACAUAAGAAUACCUCUUAAUGAUCUUAUGACUCUAUUUUAAAUCCUAGACUUAUUUUGACUCGUUAAGUACUUAAAUCUUGAUAAAAAGAAAUAUUAGUUGUCUAGUACAGUGUAUAAGAAUAAUGAUAAAUAAAAUGUAUUGAUAAUGCUUGCAUUAGCAAUGCAUGUAUUAGUGCAUUAAUUAUACAUAAAUUAUUUUAAUGCAUUGUUUGGUUUAGUGCAUUAAAAAUAGUAUGUAUUGCAUUAAAAACGUAUUUACAAAGAUACCCUUCACUUUUAUGGAGGAAAAGAUGUAAAAAAAAUUUUUGAGGAUAAUUAAGUCUUUUAUCAUAUUAAUGCAUGCAUUAAAAUCACUGCAUUUGUUGAUACCAUCUUAAUACACAAUUCCACGAGACAUAACUUCUGACAUAUUUCUAUAUAAGUUUAGAAAGUAGUGAUCAAAGGACAUUGUUAAAUUAAAAAUACUAAAUUUAAGUUUGGACCAAACGGGGCUCCUUCUCAUUUGAAGCCACAUUCACAAUGACAGGGUUAGUGAAAUAAUAUAAAACCACAUUGGAGACGUAUUUCAAUAUAAAACUAUAAACCAUUUCCUGUUUCCUUUUCAUUGUACUUAGUGUUGCCAUUAUCAUCAAAUAAUUGAGAAACAUAAUAGGCCACUUGCAGCAAGCAGUCACUCCAAAUUACAAGAAACGAAGUAGGCCAUAUUACUCACCCUUUCUCAAUUUGCCAAUGCCCAAAUCAAUAUAAAUGAACAUUAUAUCAAUCUUUGCUUGGAGUACAUAGUUACUUCAGAUCCUAAGUUCAGGUUGAUACCUCAAGCAAUAGAUCAUAAUUGCACAGAAAAAAAGAAAAAGGCAAGCGCAAACACAUUCUAGCUACAAGGAGCCAAACACCAGCUCAACAAAUCAUUUAGUGACCAACAGAAAAUGUCAGAGAACGGCAGCAGUUGUACAUAACAUCAAAACCCUCUGAAAAAACAGGUUUUUUGAGAGUCGUUAUCAAAUAAUAUAACUUGACAAGACAUCCGUAUGGCCGAAAUAGAUCACAACAAUUUAAUGACAAAAUCUUUCGACUGCUACUAUAGGUCUGAUCUUUUAAAAUGUAUAAAGGGUGAAACGCAAAACGUAAUACAAACCCAACAAAGUCUCUCUCUUCCUUCCAAAUCUUCGAGCAUCAAACCAUCAACUUAAUUCAUGAUGCACUUGGCACAUCAGAUUUGUCCGUCUCCAUUGGCUCGCCAGCAGGUGGUGCGCCACUGUCAGCACUAUCACCCUCAGUAGCAUUAGGACUCGCUGCACCCUGAGGUUGUUGCUCACCUCCUUGAGAAGAUUGAGGUGACGGUGUUUCAGGAGUUGCUGGCUUAGCUGGCUUAGGCUUUGUCAUUAUAGGCCUACAGACCCUGUAGAAACAAAUAGUUAAAAAGUGGGUUAAGCAGACAGAAAAAUAUAGGGAAGGAAGAAAUAAACAAAGAAAUGCUCUUAUGUAGAAGGACAGCAACUAGCAAAGCAAGAAAUGAUAUUGACAGACUUUCCAAUAAAAUUAGCCCAAAUAAUGCGAUCUACAAGUUAUGGCAAAAUCCGACCAGAGGCAAUAACAAUAGCAACUAUUCAUUUGUCCAAACCUUGGUGUACCAAGAUACCCAAUACCUUUGCUGGUGGAAGGUAGCAGGUACACUGUGGAAAUACCACCUUCAUCAAGAAAAAGAAAAGGAAACUCAAUGAACAACAGACCUAUCAAGUGCUUCUGCUUUCUUUCGAACAUCAGCUGACAAAAGAACAGGGUUGGCAUAUUUUGGAAGAGCAUCCUGCUGCUGUUUUUUCUCUCUAUACCAAGCCUCAGCUUCGACACACUCAUUCAAGACCUAGGAAUUGCAAGAGAAACAUAAGCAUCAAACCACAUUCUCAGGAACAAGAUAGGCGAGCAUAUGAUGAUGAAAAGGCAAAUAGCAAGAUCAAGCACACCCAUGCAUACCUUCUGCUUCUCAGCUAAAUCAAUGUGAUCAAACUUGGGAUCACUUGACACUGCCGCCUCUCUGUAACUAUUUAUGCAAUAAAUAAAUUGAUCAAUCACAGGACCCCUCUCCGUGUGCUCUUUGUAGCGUUGCUCAAUCGGGUCACCUUGCUGCAGAUCCACACUAAAUGAGCUCUAUGUAUGCCAAAAAGACUAGCAAAAAAGGAAAUGCUAGAAACACAGACCUUUUUAAGCUCCUCAAGCUUGGCGAUGUAAACACCCUUAGUUUCAUCCUCUCCAUCUUCAUACAACCAAUCUUCCACUUCUUGAAGUACAGCCAUAAAUUGUUCUCUUUCUGAAUCAGUUACAAACUCUUGAUAUUUAUCUGAAAGCUGGAUAUAAUAAGAAGAAAGUUGUCAGUGACAUAACAAAUGUUUUCAUACAACCACCAUAAAAAGCCAACUGAUACCUUAUUCCUCAUGUCAUAAACAUAGGACUCAACAGCAUUCUUUUUGUCCUUUGUCUCUUCCAUAACACGGUCCUGAAGAGCCAUUUCAAAUUCUUUCUCAACAGCCUUCUGAACAUCAGCAGCUGCCAUUGCACCAUAAACAAUCUCAGUCACUGGUACCGAUGUCUUCUUGACCCUCUUCUUAGGGGCUUCGACCUGAAAAAAAAUGAACACAAUAAAUGCGACAUCUUUGAGCUAAACACACUGAAACAGAAGAAGAAUUCUAAAUAUAACCCAACAUUAAUUAAGCAAGAAAAGCACUACACUAAUGCCGAAUUAAAAUAUUGGUGAAUUCAUGAGUUUCCUGCAUUUCAUGCAUAAAUCAAAUCCUGACAAUUUGAACAGAUGCCAUAGGUUGAUCUUAUAACAAUCAAGUAUGAUUGAUAGAGAAACAUAAACUAGCUCAAGCAGUAAUUAAAAGACGUGAAAGCGAGAUGUUACCUUAGCAUCUGACUCCAUCUGGACAGGUUCAUCUCCAGAUUCUGGAACACCAUUCUCAGCCCCUGAAGCAGCUGCAGUUCCUUUAGCAUCUUCCAUAUUCACAUCACUUUCCGAUGUAGUUGAAGGAGCAGCAUCAGCUGAAGCUUCAUCUGUUUCCAUUCUGGCAGGUCCCU